rnacentral:rRNA from 2 species
UUACAAUGGAGAGUUUGAUCCUGGCUCAGGAUGAACGCUGGCUACAGGCUUAACACAUGCAAGUCGAGGGGAAACGACGGGGAAGCUUGCUUCCCCGGGCGUCGACCGGCGCACGGGUGAGUAACGCGUAUCCAACCUGCCUCUGACUGAGGGAUAACCCGUCGAAAGUCGGCCUAAUACCUCAUGGCAUCGUCUGCGGGCAUCCAACGACGAUUAAAGAUUUCAUCGGUCAGGGAUGGGGAUGCGUCUGAUUAGCUUGUUGGCGGGGUAACGGCCCACCAAGGCGACGAUCAGUAGGGGUUCUGAGAGGAAGGUCCCCCACAUUGGAACUGAGACACGGUCCAAACUCCUACGGGAGGCAGCAGUGAGGAAUAUUGGUCAAUGGGCGAGAGCCUGAACCAGCCAAGUAGCGUGCAGGAUGACGGCCCUAUGGGUUGUAAACUGCUUUUAUGCGGGGAUAAAGUGAGGGACGUGUCCUUCAUUGCAGGUACCGCAUGAAUAAGGACCGGCUAAUUCCGUGCCAGCAGCCGCGGUAAUACGGAAGGUCCGGGCGUUAUCCGGAUUUAUUGGGUUUAAAGGGAGCGUAGGCCGUGGAUUAAGCGUGUUGUGAAAUGCAGGUGCUCAACGUCUGCACUGCAGCGCGAACUGGUCCACUUGAGUGUGCACAACGCAGGCGGAAUUCGUCGUGUAGCGGUGAAAUGCUUAGAUAUGACGAAGAACUCCGAUUGCGAAGGCAGCUUGCGGGAGCACAACUGACGCUGAAGCUCGAAAGUGCGGGUAUCGAACAGGAUUAGAUACCCUGGUAGUCCGCACGGUAAACGAUGGAUGCCCGUUGUCAGGCUGUUUCAGCCUGGUGACCAAGCGAAAGCAUUAAGCAUCCCACCUGGGGAGUACGCCGGCAACGGUGAAACUCAAAGGAAUUGACGGGGGCCCGCACAAGCGGAGGAACAUGUGGUUUAAUUCGAUGAUACGCGAGGAACCUUACCCGGGCUUGAAUUGCAGACGAA